GAUGAACGCUAGCUACAGGCUUAACACAUGCAAGUCGAGGGGAAACGACAUCGAAAGCUUGCUUUUGAUGGGCGUCGACCGGCGCACGGGUGAGGAACGCGUAUCCAACCUGCCCACCACUUGGGGAUAACCUUGCGAAAGUAAGACUAAUACCCAAUGAUAUCCCACGAAGACAUCUGAAUGGGAUGAAAGAUUUAUCGGUGAUGGAUGGGGAUGCGUCUGAUUAGCUUGUUGGUGGGGUAACGGCCCACCAAGGCAACGAUCAGUAGGGGUUCUGAGAGGAAGGGCCCCAACAUUGGAACUGAGACACGGUCAAAACUCCUACGGCCGGCAGCAGUGAGGAAGAUUGGUCAGUGGACGAGAGCCUGAAGGAGCCAAGUAGCGUGCAGGAAGACGGCGCUAUGGGUUGUGACCUGCUUUUAUAAGGGGAUAUAGUGGGUGACGUGUGACUUUUUGAAGGUACCUUAUGAAUAAGGACCGGCUAACUACGUG
rnacentral:rRNA from 1 species